rnacentral:tRNA from 1 species
AUAAAGAUAAGCUAAUAAAAGCUCUUGGGCUCAUAUCCCAAAUAUAGGUAAUUCUUCUUUUUAUA